UACGUAGGGUGCGAGCGUUAAUCGGAAUUACUGGGCGUAAAGCGUGCGCAGGCGGUUUCGUAAGACAGGCGUGAAAUCACCGGGCUUAACCUGGGAACUGCGCUUGUGACUGCGAUGCUAGCGUGUGUCAGAGGGAGGUGGAAUUCCACGUGUAGCAGUGAAAUGCGUAGAGAUGUGGAGGAACACCGAUGGCGAAGGCAGCCUCCUGGGAUAACACUGGCGCUCAUGCACGAAAGCGCGGGGAGCAAACACG
rnacentral:rRNA from 1 species